CCUCAUGUUGGCAACUUUGCCAGGGGCUGAGUGAAAAAGAGACAAGAAAGAGACUGCCCCUUCUGCCUUGUAAGUUUCCUCAAAUAUCCCCUGAAUCAAGGGAGUACCAGCAUGUGACUGUGGCACUAACUAGCCCUCUUGCCCACAUUAACCUUAUUUGUCCAGAUUACUAGUGUUACUGUGGUAGAAAUAUUUCCUCUCUGCUCUUAGGUAAGACUGUCAUUUGCUUCUCUUGCAGUGGGGAGUAAGGGAAUUUGGAUCCACUGACAAAAAUUUAGUAAGUGGGGCAUUUUAAAUUUCAAAGUAAAUCUGUCUCCCUUUGCAGUUCGUUGGCUCCUUGCCUGUCAUCAGUACUUGCCUUUUUUUCCUCCCACUUUUCUUUUGGAGGAUCACAUACAAGUUGGGGAGGCUGCUCCAAAGCCACAUGGUCUCUCAGAUAUUGCCAGCUGUACUGGGACUCUCUGGAGUCCCUUGUCCAUCACCACAGGUCACCCCAGCAGAACCUGGGCAUCUACCAUAGACCUGAGGUGUCCAAAUUGGGGCAGUGCUCCAAGCGGUCUGCAAACUGGUGCCCUGAUUAUAGGUUAUUCUGUGAUUGAAGUUUCACCUAGAGAUCGGCUGAGAAUGUGAAUGGGAUGUCUGCAUUUAGCAUCAGGUUUUGGAGCUUUGAUGUGGGCUAUUUCCUCCCGAAGGGCCUUGAUAACAAAGACCACAGCACAGUCCUGUGGGAGUUUCUAGCUUCUGUACCCACUGCCUCAUUAUAUGCAUGGCUUUUAAUAUUUGGAGAGCCUUUGCCAAUACACAUUUUCUCGUGUACUGGGAAACUGGAGCCCGGAUGCGAUAUAUUAUUGAUAGGAUUGUAAUUUACUCCUCUUGGGUUGUAUCUACAGUGUAUACCAUUAGCACAAAAUAUUAAAUUACCAGUGGUUGUAUAUAUUUGUCUAUCCAGGUUUGGCUCAAUGAUAUUUGCCUUUUGCCUCAAUAAAAGAUUGUGAAUAAUGAAAGCAGGGUAAUAUUAUUUUGUUGUUGUUGUUGUUGCAAGGGAAUUUUGAUGAAACCAUUUUCUCUGUGUUGUGUUUUUGGCGAGUCAUGCUUUGCAAUGAAGACAUGAGACAUAAAAGAGUGGGGGUUGGACAUAGAAGAUGGAUGAGCAGCUUGCUCCAGCUCUGGGCACACACUGGCUUCCCUGGCAAGCUGCUCUGGGCCAGGCUUGGGGCUUUCUUUUUCUGCAAGAGGGAAUAAGCAAUCUGUGCUGCAUUGGUGGGAGGAAGUGGGCAGUUCAGACCUUGGUGCCAGAAAUACCAA
rnacentral:lncRNA from 1 species